UUCACCAGCCUGACCACAGCCGAUAUCCCUCGCCUCUUCAUCACAGGAGAUUGAGGAUUCGAGCCUCCAGGAUCAAAAGUAAGCAGAGUAAAAGGCAUAUUGGUUCAGCUCUUAGGCAAUAGAAGGUAGUAUGUGAAUAAAUAAUACUUCACAAUAUAUAUAUAUAUAUUCGGGGUAUUGUAUAAUGUAUGCUUGAUGUUUACAGUUCAAUUGUAUUGGUGGGGUUCAGAUUGUAAAAGAACCGCAAAAAAAAUUCUGGAACCCACUUUCAGCACAACACAAACCAAACCAUCAACAAGUGCUCACUCUUACAAUUUUAAAUACUAAAAUUUAAGCAAAGAUCAUUAAGAUAGAAUGCCUACAGUUUACAACAUUGCUUAAUAUGUUACACAUAUAACAUGUGACUCCCAUUAGCUUUUGCGAAAAAAUCACCGAUAAUUUAAGUAUAUAACUUUAUCCCAUUUCUAUAAUCCCAGCUAGUGCACUUUUUAACCAAGCUAAUACUUCAAUACAACAAA
rnacentral:lncRNA from 1 species